rnacentral:rRNA from 1 species
AUGCAAGCUUUUCAAUCUGCCAUUCAUGACUGUGAGCUAAGGGACAUGGGUUUCCUGGGGGACCAGUUCACGUGGCAGCGAGGUCGCAUUAGAGAGCGGCUGGACCGUGGCCUGAUUAAUGACUCUUGGGGUGCCCUAUACCCCCAUGCAGCUUUACAGAAUCUAAGUUACAACCAUUCUGAUCAUAGACCCUUGCUUGUGGACACGGAAUAUUACUUACCUAGCACUGGAAGUGACAACCAGGUGAAGCGCUUUGAGGCUAGAUGGUUGAGAGAAAAUAGCUUUGCUGAUCUAGUCCAGGAAACAUGGCAGAGGGUUGAAACCAAUCCGAACCUCACUUCGGUACAGGCCAAACUGGACCGUAUGCAUGGGAUGUUCCAUGAUUGGGAUCAGAGAGUGCUCAAGAAGCCAAAGAAGAGACUUCGGCAGACACAAAGGGAGUUGGAAAAAUUAAUGACCGGCCCUAUGAAUGAUGAGACAGAGGAGAAGAGAAAAGAGCUUUCUGAAUUGAUUGAGUUUUUGCUAGAACUCGAGGAAAUACAUUAUAUGCAAAGAUCGAGAUCCAACUGGCUCCAGUUCGGUGAUCGCAAUACGGGUUUUUUUCAGGCAUAUGCUACGGCAAGACGGAAGAAAUUUUUUAUUAAAAAAUUAAAUGACGGACAGGGAAAUAUAUUGGAAGGUACGACUCUUCUUAGUCCACAUAUACGAAGCUACUUUAAUAACUUGUUCAGCUCAGAAGACAGGUUGAUCCGGCGAUACUACAAAAGGUCCAGUCCAAAGUGA